GCGCCCGUAGCUCAUUUGGAUAGAGCAACUGCCUUCUAAGCAGUAGGUGAUUGGUUCGAAUCCAAUCGGGCGUA
rnacentral:tRNA from 1 species